GGGGAUAUGGCGGAAUUGGUAGACGCUACGGACUUGAUCGAAUUGAGCCUUGGCUUUAUAGACCGUGAGGGUUCAAGUCCCUCUAUCCCCA
rnacentral:tRNA from 3 species